rnacentral:rRNA from 1 species
CGGUGUUUAACUGGCGUGAUGUGGGACGUCCUACCGGUGGGCUUAGCCUCGCGAGGGGCGGCCCAACUAAUAUCCCGUCGCGGUGCUCUUUACUGAGUGUCGAGUCGGGCCGGUACGUUUACUUUGAACAAAUUAGAGUGCUUAAAGCAGGCUAUCCUCGCCUGAAUACUGCGUGCAUGGAAUAAUGGAAUAGGACCUCGGUUCUAUUUUGUUGGUUUUCGGAACCCCGAGGUAAUGAUUAAUAGGGACAGAUGGGGGCAUUCGUAUUGCGACGUUAGAGGUGAAAUUCUUGGAUCGUCGCAAGACGGACAGAAGCGAAAGCAUUUGCCAAAAAUGUUUUCAUUAAUCAAGAACGAAAGUUAGAGGUUCGAAGGCGAUCAGAUACCGCCCUAGUUCUAACCAUAAACGAUGCCAGCUAGCGAUCCGCCGAAGUUCCUCCGAUGACUCGGCGGGCAGCUUCCGGGAAACCAAAGCUUUUGGGUUCCGGGGGAAGUAUGGUUGCAAAGCUGAAACUUAAAGGAAUUGACGGAAGGGCACCACCAGGAGUGGAGCCUGCGGGCUUAAUUUGACUCAACACGGGAAACCUCACCAGGCCCAGACACCGGAAGGAUUGACAGAUUGAUAGCUCUUUCUUGAUUCGGUGGGUGGUGGUGCAUGGCCGUUCUUAGUUGGUGGAGCGAUUUGUCUGGUUAAUUCCGAUAACGAACGAGACUCUAGCCUGCUAAAUAGGCGUACCUUAUGGUAUCGCGAAGGCCCCCGGCUUCGGCCGGUGGGUUUUUACUACCAACGUACAAACAAAUCUUCUUAGAGGGACAGGCGG